CUUUAGGAUUGCAAACUAAAGCCAAAACCAAGUAAUUUGAAUUUGAAAAACCAAUAAAUUCAGCAUCAGCAGGUGACAUUACUAAAGCUGCAGAAGCUGCACUAAAGUUGGAGCGUGAAAGAUUAAAAAAGUUGGAAGACUUGGAUGAAGGAAACAAGGCAUUAGGAUUGAAUGUAAAUAAGGAGGUUUCUACUGGUGUGAAAAAGUUAUUGAGAGAAUCGUCUGGCCAGUACAGCGACUUCAGUAUUCUUUCCUCUUUAAAUUCUCAGGUGCGUAGAUGUGACUGGAGCUUACAGUGCUCUAAAGACGGAGCUUAACAUAAGCUUGACAGCAAUAGGCCUUUUGUGGACUACAACUGGCUUUAUUGCAAAGAGGAUUACACAUGGACCUGUGGAAGAAAGGGAAACAAGAAAGGGAAACAGGUAUAUGACAAGUGCACAACAAAUGGACUCACAACAAAGACAAGUGCACAAAGGAUGAUGAAUUGAAGGAUGGAGCAAGUUUCAUGCAUGGUUUACUUUUGUGUAUCUUGUAAUUUUUUGUUUUUCAUUUUUGAAGUAAAAAAUGUUCAAGAUUAUAAAACUUUAUUAUGUUAUGCUUUCAAACUUAAGUUAGAACUAAGAUCU